rnacentral:misc_RNA from 1 species
AUGGGAAGACAAUUAUUUACAUUACAUACCUAAAAAUAGCCAGAGAACCAAUACAGGAAGGGGAAAAGAUGUAAUUUGAGAAAAAAAAAUUAUAAUCCUUAGAACUUGUAAACUUUGUUCCUCAUUCCACUCUUAGAUGAGUAACCCCGCAAGGCCAACGCAAAAGAAUAAUGAACCAGAACAAAAUUACUUAUCUUCUAAAGUAACUGU